rnacentral:rRNA from 1 species
UACGUAGGGUGCGAGCGUUAAUCGGAAUUACUGGGCGUAAAGCGUGCGUAGGCGGUUCGUUAAGUCAGCUGUGAAAGCCCCGGGCUCAACCUGGGAACUGCGGUUGAAACUGGCGAACUAGAAUCUGGCAGAGGGGGGUGGAAUUCCACGUGUAGCAGUGAAAUGCGUAGAGAUGUGGAGGAACACCGAUGGCGAAAGCAGCCCCCUGGGCUGAGAUUGACGCUGAGUGCACGAAAGCGUGGGGAGCGAACAGG